GAUGAACGCUAGCUACAGGCUUAACACAUGCAAGUCGCGGGGCAGCAUGGGGGUUGCUUGCCAUCCCCGAUGGCGACCGGCGCACGGGUGAGUAACGCGUAUCCAACCUGCCCUUCACCACGGGAUAACCCGGCGAAAGUCGGACUAAUACCGUAUGUUUUCCAUUGACGGCAUCCGAUUUGGACGAAAGGCUUGGCGGUGAGGGAUGGGGAUGCGUCCGAUUAGCCAGACGGCGGGGUAACGGCCCACCGUGGCUACGAUCGGUAGGGGUUCUGAGAGGAAGGUCCCCCACACUGGAACUGAGACACGGUCCAGACUCCUACGGGAGGCAGCAGUGAGGAAUAUUGGUCAAUGGGCGUAAGCCUGAACCAGCCAAGUAGCGUGCAGGAGGACGGCCCUAUGGGUUGUAAACUGCUUUUAUGCGGGGAUAAAGUGGCCCACGUGUGGGCUUUUGCAGGUACCGCAUGAAUAAGGACCGGCUAAUUCCGUG
rnacentral:rRNA from 1 species